GUCAGCACGAAAGGAGGAUCAUGUCUCCUCUCAACAUCAGAAGUAAAUAUGUUUUGCUUUUCAUCAUUUCCCAAAAAAAUUCGACGGAUUUUGCCUAAGGUCUUUUGCGCUUUUGGUGCAAAUGUCUCAUUCCCAUUAUGUGCCUUAGCUGUUGUUCCAUCCACGUAGAAAGGAUCCCAACUUGAGAUAUAAAUGGAUUAUCCGAAACGAGCUCGUGUCAGGGAGAGAAAACUGAGCUCCAUCACAUGGUAGACGACGUGCUCUGGUGGCUUCAGAGACACUCAUCACUCAGUCUGUGGGGCAGAGGAUGCUUUCAAAACAGAAACCACUCCAUGUCUCACCAGAUGACGGCAGACUGCAGGAGGAGAUGCAGGUAAUGAAAGGGUUAAUUACAGUUAAUUUGACACAAAUACCCAUUUAAAAAUCUUAUAUUUAAUGGUGAUAUUUUUUCACAGUACUGGUUAUUAUAUUCGAUACAUCUAUAAAUCUAUAACAAGUUGAAGCUUUUGGUGACUUGGACAGCUUCCUGCAGCUUCAUAAUAAUCUGCAUUACAGAAUUAACCCUUUGUGCAAAAUAAAUGAUGUUUAAAUGUAAUCAUCACCUUCAAAGACAUGUCUUAACGAGUGAGCUUGAUUCAUUUGUGCCAUUUUUUUUAUUAAUCUGAAGACAGUUAAGGAUUCAUGUUUAAUCAUAUUGGUUUUGUAAUUAAGUAAGAUAAUAUUAAUAAAGGCUAAAUAACAAAAUACAUGUCUUCGUGGGUUACCCAAUCACUGAUCUGCAGCAACAUGGCCUUUAGUGAAUUCACUUUCACAUCACACCCACAUGCAUUAGGAAAGUCUUGGCUCAAAAUGUUGCAUGAUUUCAACAUGUGUGUGUCUCUAUGCUUAAACCACCCAUAAGAAAAUAUAAAUGUACAGUUAUAUUGGGAGAAACAUUUGACUUAGUGUAAAUAAAACAGAGUCUGUCUAAUCAGGAAGUGGCAGGCAGCUCUCACCUGCAGUGGAGUGGCCAUCUUGAAUGUUUUCUAAGAUAGCAGCAAUGCUAGGCUAAUCCACAUUUAGACAUUAUAUUCUUUUUAAAUGAUUCCCAAAGUGCGUAUUUUAUGUUUUCAUGACUUAUUUGAAUGAUUUCCUCACACUUCUUCAUGUUAAAUUACAGUUUGCUCUCUUUUUACAGAUCACAGCAUGUUUGGCAGCUGGGACACUUUUACUAAGGAAGUGUACACCCUUGAGGCUGCUGCAGUUUAAACAAUAACUAUAUUAAUGAGACUAACAUACAACAAUGAAGUAUCUUCCGGAGUUCUUCUGUUUCGUGAGUACUAAAACAAAUAAAACAGCCUCUCUCCUAACAGCUCAGGCCCAGGCAGCUGCCUUCCUGCCCAGCUAUGGCUCCCCCUAGCCGUGCCUCCAUGUUUCCUUGUUAAUGCACACCAUAAUGCCCUGACCCACCCUGAUCUAUUACACAGCAAAUACACCAAAAUAUACCUGAAAACCUCACUUUCUUCGUCUAAAUGUGUAGUAUAUAGCCUCCAUCUGCCUCUAAGCCAACAUUGGGCAGCAUUGGUAACAGCAGAA